UUCAGUGCCGUAGGUAACCCAAUAAGUGCCCCGCCUGGGGAGUACGGUCGCAAGACUGAAACUCAAAGGAAUUGACGGGGGCCCGCACAAGCGGUGGAGCAUGUGGUUUAAUUCGAUGCAACGCGAAGAACCUUACCAGGGUUUGACAUGCCGGUGGUACGGAGUGGAAACACGAAGGACCCUUCGGGGAGCCGGUACAGGUGGUGCAUGGUUGUCGUCAGCUCGUGCCGUGAGGUGUUGGGUUAAGUCCCGCAACGAGCGCAACCCUUACUUCUAGUUGCCAGCGGGUUAAGCCGGGCACUCUAGAGGGACUGCCGUCGACAAGGCGGAGGAAGGUGGGGAUGACGUCAAAUCAUCAUGCCCUUUAUACCCUGGGCUACACACGUGCUACAAUGGCCGGUACAACGGGAUGCUAAGGCGUGAGCUGGAGCAAAUCCCAAAAAGCCGGUAUAAGUUCGGAUUGCAGGCUGCAACUCGCCUGCAUGAAGUCGGAAUCGCUAGUAAUCGCAGGUCAGCAUACUGCGGUGAAUGCGUUCCCGGGCCUUGUACACACCGCCCGUCACACCACGAAAGUCGGCAACACCCGAAGUCGGUGACCCAAC
rnacentral:rRNA from 1 species